rnacentral:rRNA from 1 species
AUUGAACGCUGGCGGCAUGCCUAACACAUGCAAGUCGAACGGCAGCACAGCCCGCAAGGGUGGGUGGCGAGUGGCGGACGGGUGAGGAAUACAUGGGAAUCUACCCUGUCGUGGGGGAUAACGUAGGGAAACUUACGCUAAUACCGCAUACGACCUCCGGGUGAAAGCGGCGGACCGCAAGGCGUCGCGCGACUGGAUGAGCCCAUGUCGGAUUAGCUAGUUGGCGGGGUAAAGGCCCACCAAGGCGACGAUCCGUAGCUGGUCUGAGAGGAUGAGGAGCCACACUGGGAUUGAGACACGGGCCAGACUCCUACGGGAGGCAGCAGUGGGGAAUAUUGGACAAUGGGCGCAAGCCUGAUCCAGCAAUGCCGCGUGGGUGAAGAAGGCCUUCGGGUUGUAAAGCCCUUUUGUACGGGAAGAAAUCCUGUCGGUUAAUACCCGGCGGGGAUGACGGUACCGUAAGAAUAAGCACCGGCUAACUUCGUGCCAGCAGCCGCGGUAA